rnacentral:rRNA from 1 species
AAUGGGCGCAAGCCUGAUCCAGCCAUGCCGCGUGAGUGAUGAAGGCCUUAGGGUCGUAAAGCUCUUUCGCCAGAGAUGAUAAUGACAGUAUCUGGUAAAGAAACCCCGGCUAACUCCGUGCCAGCAGCCGCGGUAAUACGGAGGGGGUUAGCGUUGUUCGGAAUUACUGGGCGUAAAGCGCACGUAGGCGGACUGGAAAGUUGGGGGUGAAAUCCCGGGGCUCAACCCCGGAACUGCCUCCAAAACUAUCAGUCUAGAGUUCGAGAGAGGUGAGUGGAAUUCCGAGUGUAGAGGUGAAAUUCGUAGAUAUUCGGAGGAACACCAGUGGCGAAGGCGGCUCACUGGCUCGAUACUGACGCUGAGGUGCGAAAGUGUGGGGAGCAAACAGGAUU